AACGAACGCUGGCGGCAGGCCUAACACAUGCAAGUCGAACGCCGUAGCAAUACGGAGUGGCAGACGGGUGAGUAACACGUGGGAACGUACCCUUCGGUUCGGAAUAACUCAGGGAAACUUGAGCUAAUACCGGAUAAGUCCGUGAGGAGAAAGAUUUAUCGCCGAAGGAUCGGCCCGCGUCUGAUUAGCUAGUUGGUGAGGUAACGGCUCACCAAGGCGACGAUCAGUAGCUGGUCNGAGAGGAUGAUCAGCCACAUUGGGACUGAGACACGGCCCAAACUCCUACGGGAGGCAGCAGUGGGGAAUAUUGGACAAUGGGCGCAAGCCUGAUCCAGCCAUGCCGCGUGAGUGAUGAAGGCCUUAGGGUUGUAAAGCUCUUUUACCCGGGAAGAUAAUGACGGUACCGGGAGAAUAAGCCCCGGCUAACUUCGUGCCAGCCGCCGCUGUAAC
rnacentral:rRNA from 1 species